AUUGGGACCAGCCGUGUGGGCAAAGGACGUGUGUUUUGCCCACUGUUGCAGUCUUCCUAGAGUGAAGUGGAGGUCUCUGUCUGCUUUGGGAGAGCCCACUGAAGUGGAUCGUUCCCCUCCAUACAUG
rnacentral:snoRNA from 1 species